rnacentral:rRNA from 1 species
UAGGGAAUCUUCCGCAAUGGGCGAAAGCCUGACGGAGCAACGCCGCGUGAGUGAAGAAGGAUUUCGGUUCGUAAAGCUCUGUUGUUAGGGAAGAAUGAUUGUGUAGUAACUAUACAUAGUAGAGACGGUACCUAACCAGAAAGCCACGGCUAACUACGUGCCAGCAGCCGCGGUAAUACGUAGGUGGCAAGCGUUGUCCGGAAUUAUUGGGCGCAAAGCGCGCGCAGGUGGUUUAAUAAGUCUGAUGUGAAAGCCCACGGCUCAACCGUGGAGGGUCAUUGGAAACUGUUAAACUUGAGUGCAGGAGAGAAAAGUGGAAUUCCUAGUGUAGCGGUGAAAUGCGUAGAGAUUAGGAGGAACACCAGUGGCGAAGGCGGCUUUUUGGCCUGUAACUGACACUGAGGCGCGAAAGCGUGGGGAGCAAACAGGAUUAGAUACCCUGGUAGUCCACGCCGUANCGAUGAGUGCUAAGUGUUGGUCUCAUAAGAGAUCAGUGCUGCAGCUAACGCAUUAAGCACUCCGCCUGGGGAGUACGACCGCAAGGUUG